AGUGCUAGCAUAGAAUCUAACAAGAAAUGGCCCUGCAUCCAUUCUCUUUUCUUCUAAUAACAGCCCCAGAUUUCCAUUUUUGGACCUACCUUUUCCUUUUUAUCAGGCUAAGUGUUCAUGGUGGGGCUCUGUCCUUAGUUCCAGGGAUAAAGCCUGUGACCCAAACUUAAACCGCAGAUCAUUUUCCCCAGGCCAUGGAGAUUGUUUCAAAUGUGGGCACAUGGCCUGAAUGGGUCAUAUCAGAGUAAAUCUUAGGGCUUCUGGGUUAUGCCACCAUCACAGGCUCUUGCUUUCCUCACUGAACUUGAACCUAGACGGAUGUAAGCUGGAGCUGUGGCAGCCAUCAUUGCCCUGUGAAAAGUCCACUUGGAGCUGCCAAAGACCACCCCAGGAGCUUCAGAAUGAAGACAACCUGGAAGUCAGAGCUGACAGAAAUAAGGUGAAGUUAGCUUGAGGAAAGAGCUGUAAGGAAGAGUGAAGUCAGCUGAGUCAAGGACACAAGCGGAAAAUGUGCAAAGAUGAGCCAGAAGCAUGGAAAAGUACCUCCAAGACAGAGGAGAACUGAUCCAAGAGAAAGGAGAUGGGAGUGGGCAUCACGUACAGCCAGAGGGCGCCACCUGCCGAAAUGCCUCUUAUUGUUUACAUUAUGAAGUCUCAACUUGGAUGGAAGCCCAACUGCAACACGGCCUCCUAAAAUGAGACGCAACUGUUCAACUGAACUGUUCUCAGGACUAAAAGGCUGUGUCAAUAAGAUACGGGGAAUAUUUGUUCUUCUGUGUGUUCCGAUCCUUGUUUUUCUUUCCCUUCGUUGAUCUCUUGUUUCACAACUUCCAACCCAAAUCUGCUCACAGCUACUAACUUGGCUUUUAACAUAUGAAACUUUCUAAAAGUAAAGUUUCAAAUGGGGAAUGAAGAGGCUCAGAAUACACUACCCCAAAACAUGUCACUCAGAACACAUCAUCCCCAAAUAUGCCACUUUGGCAUCAGAAUUAUUUUAAACUAAAGGCACAUAAAAACAGGAGAUGCAAGAAGAUCACUCUGACCUUCACUGUUCUUUAAAAGCCAGAGAUGAAAUUCCCAUGUGAAAGGUGUUCUCCCUAAACCAAGAAGAAAGUAACAUUCUCAUCACAAAGGAUAGGAAGUUGAGGCUGAUAGGAAUCUAUACAAGCAUCCCUUAUGUUCCUAAUUACUUAUUUACCCAGUUAUUUACCCUAGCAUAAGCCCCUUUGCCUUGUUACAUUUUCACAAUUCAGGGCAUAAAUGUUUGACUCUAGCUGCUGCUUUGUGUCUUCAUUUCCUUAUGAAUGCUCUCCUGCCAUUAAAAAACUUGCAUUAAAUAAUUUAUAUACUUUUCUCCUGUUGAUUUGUCUUAUGUCUAUUUAAUUCUCCAGGCCCAGGCAACAAACAAACAAACAAGAAAACAAAACAAAAACAAAAAACCCCCAACAACAACAACAACAAAACCAUAAAAGAGGAGGGGCAAAUUUUUGCCUCCUCUUCUGCAUUUUUCACAUGCUUUAUCCUGUUUUCACUUCUUUACUUUCUGGCACUAUAAGGUGUUCCAGGCUCAUCUUAUAUUUAUUUUCCCUAUCCUAGCCCUGGAAUCAGCCACUUCUACACUUCUUGAAGGAGUCCUGGUUCCUUUCAUCAGGGAACGGCAUUUCGAAAUCAAGAUCUGAGUGCUGGCUGUGCUCAUUGCUACUGGUGUCACUGCUCAUAGUCUCCUCUCUCUCAGUGGGCAGAGCUAGCUCUCCUUUAGCUUUCUUCCAUAAAUUUUGAUUUGCUGGCAUUUUAUAUCAACUUAUUUAAACAUAUUUUUAAAAUUUGCCUUGAAGUUCUCCUUGAAGAGGUCCUUCACAUCCCUUGUAAGUU
rnacentral:lncRNA from 1 species